GUUGAACGCCGGCGGCAUGCUUAACACAUGCAAGUCGGACGGGAAGUGGUGUUUCCUUUCUCGGUCGGUGGAGUAACGCGUAAGAACCUGCCCUUGGGAGGGGAACACCAGCUGGAAACGGCUGCUAAUACCCCAUAGGCUCAGGAACAAAAUAACGAAUCCGCAUGAGGGUGGGCGCGCGUCUGAUUACCUAGUUGGUGAUGCAAUAGCUUACCAAGGCGAUGAUCAGUAGCUGGUCCGAGAGGAUGAUCAGCCACACUGGGACGGAGACACGGCCCAGGCACCUACGGGAGGCAGGAGUGGGGAAGAUUCAGCAAUGGGCGAAGGACGGACGGGGCAAUGGGGCGUGGAGGUAGAAGGCGUACGGGGCGUGAACGUCUUUUCCCGGAGAAGAAGCAUUGACGGUAUCUGGGGAAUAAGCAUCGGCUAACUCUGUG
rnacentral:rRNA from 1 species